rnacentral:lncRNA from 1 species
UAAGGUAAAGGUGAAGACUGGAGCUCCUCUGGAGAAACAGAAGCAAGCUCUCUUCUUCUCUCCCCCUUUUUAUUCCAUUCAGGCUACAACCCUAUUUGGUGGUGUCACUCACAUCCAGGGUGAUCUUCUAUCUUCAGUAAAUCCAUUCAACCACACCCAGAACUAUGCUAAUCCAGUCAGUUGGGCAUUUCUUUCUCAAAUUGACAAAACAACCUGCUGGGGGUGGGUGUACUUUUUCCUGGUCUGCAAUUUCCUAACUCAUGGGACAACCAUUCCCUUCCCAUGUGCAACCAGCUAACUUUCUCAUUAAAUGAUCCAUCUUUCAGAUAAGGAAGCUGAAGGUGAAAGAAGGUUUUUUGUUCAAGCUUACACAGCCAAGACCUUCUGUCCAAAAUACACUGGAAAGCAAAGCUGCUCAAACUAUGUCCAGAAUUCCAGAUUGCCUUCUCCUUUUGAGAGAUCUUCCUGAAACUCUCAAGAUGGCACAGAAAACUUUGAACAGAAGGUCUGGACUGAGCCUGAAACACUGCAACCCUAACAAUUUCACCAAUAACACUGAUCAGAGACCACAGUGUGAUUGAUGUGGGGCCAGUACAGAGGACACACUGAGGUCAGAAGGAAGCCCAGUUCAUGACUCUUGCACUUACUGGCUCAGGACAAUGCCUAGAGCAACUAAAUUCUGGCAAGAUCAAAUAAAUAAAUAUGCAAAUACAGAGCAGUGUCUGGAACUUAAUAUAUGAUACAUAAUCUUAAUUUCUUUCCUACCAUCUAAAUGACUACCCCAGUCUAUAUGUAUUAUACCUCUCAUCAUAGCUAGUUCCUUAGACUUUAUCAGUUUAUAAUAACGGUAGUUUCCCAAA